rnacentral:rRNA from 1 species
AGAGUUUGAUCCUGGCUCAGGACGAACGCUGGCGGCACGCUUAACACAUGCAAGUCGAACGAGAGAAGAGAAGCUUGCUUUUCUGAUCUAGUGGCGGACGGGUGAGUAACACGUGAGCAAUCUGCCUUUCAGAGGGGGAUACCGAUUGGAAACGAUCGUUAAUACCGCAUAACAUAAUUGAACCGCAUGAUUUGAUUAUCAAAGAUUUAUCGCUGAAAGAUGAGCUCGCGUCUGAUUAGCUAGUUGGUAAGGUAACGGCUUACCAAGGCGACGAUCAGUAGCCGACCUGAGAGGGUGACCGGCCACAUUGGGACUGAGACACGGCCCAAACUCCUACGGGAGGCAGCAGUGGGGAAUAUUGCACAAUGGGGGAAACCCUGAUGCAGCGACGCCGCGUGAGCGAAGAAGUAUUUCGGUAUGUAAAGCUCUAUCAGCAGGGAAGAAAAUGACGGUACCUGACUAAGAAGCCCCGGCUAACUACGUGCCAGCAGCCGCGGUAAUACGUAGGGGGCAAGCGUUAUCCGGAUUUACUGGGUGUAAAGGGAGCGUAGACGGUUUUGCAAGUCUGAAGUGAAAGCCCGGGGCUUAACCCCGGGACUGCUUUGGAAACUGUAGAACUAGAGUGCAGGAGAGGUAAGUGGAAUUCCUAGUGUAGCGGUGAAAUGCGUAGAUAUUAGGAGGAACACCAGUGGCGAAGGCGGCUUACUGGACGGUAACUGACGUUGAGGCUCGAAAGCGUGGGGAGCAAACAGGAUUAGAUACCCUGGUAGUCCACGCCGUAAACG